UUAUUUGCAAACCAUAUCUGAUAAGGGCUUAAUUUCCAAAAUACAGAAGACACUCAUAUGACUCAAUAAUAAUAAUAAUAAUAUUAAUAACCCCCCCCACACAAAACAAAACCUAAUAAGUUGACUAAAAAAUGGGCUAAGGACUUGAAUAGCUAUUUUAGAAGAUAUACACAUGGCCAACAGGUAUAUAAAAAAUGUUCAAUGUCACUAAUCAUCAGGGAAAUCCAAAUCAAAACACAGUGAGAUGUCAUUUCACAUCUGUCAGGUUGGCUAUUUUUAAAAAACUAAAGACAAUAAAGUGUUGGCAAGGAUGUACAGACAUUGGAACCCUUGCACACUGUUUGUAGGAAUGCAAAAUGGUGCAGCCACUAUGGAAAAUAAAAAAUAAAAAAGAAUUCCUCAAGAAAUUAAAAAUGUAACUACCAUUUGAUCCAGCAAUCCCAUUUCUGGGUAGUUAUCCAAAAGAACUGAAAUCAGGAUUUUGAAGAGAUAUUAGCACUCCCAUGUUCAUUGAGGCAUUAUUCACAAGAGCCACAAUGUGUAAACAACAUCAAAGUCCAACAGGUGAAUUGGUAAAGAAAACAUGGUAUAUACAUACUCUGGAAUACAAUUCAGCCUUAAAAAAGGAAAAUUUUUGCAAUAUGCAACAUGGAUGAAUGAACCUUAAGGACAUUAUGUCAGUGAAAUAAGCCAGUCACAUAAAGACAAUACUGUGUGAGUCCACCAAUAUGAAGGAAUGGCACUAUUUCCUGGAUGUGCAUUUCUCUGGUUGCAGGACUAGAAAUGAUUAUGUUUCUCCAUCAUUGAAUUUGCUACCUUCUAAGCAGCUGCCUGGAUCUUAUAGCUGAUCCUGCUCCCCUUAUUGAAUAACCUGCUAAACACCUUUGUGCUAAAUUGAUUUGUGACUCAUGUUUAGCAAAUUUGUAGGUCUUCAUUAAAUCCAUUCAUGUACUCACACCACUUCUGGUUCUUACUUUGUUAUAAUACCAAACCUUUUUUUCGUUGCUUUCUUUUUAAAAACUUUGCUACUGAUGUUUUAAUGUUAUUUAUAAUUUUGGUUAGCUACCUUAAAUCAUUUUUUAAAAACUAUGAAAGAAAUAGACUUCAAAUCCCACUCAACAAAAAAGGGGCAGGGAGCAAAUAUGGUGGCUGCAUACACAGAAAUAGAGCAAGACUUCCAAGGCUCAAAUUCUACCUCCUGUAGUCAUGAGCCAUGUGAACCUUGGGCAAGUUACUAGAUAAUACUGUACCUAGUUUUGUCAUUAAAUGUAGACAAGAAUUCCUACCUCACAGAGCUGUUUUCGGCUUUAAAUAAUAUACUUAAAAUUGUGCAUUUAGAACAGUGCCUGUUCUAAAUACUCAAAUGUUAGCCGUGAGGAAUUUAUUUUAUGCUGUGGCUUAACUAUCACAUACAUAGCUGAGUUUACAAUCUAAUGUCAACCUAAACAGACAAGCAUUCCCAUCAUAUUGUCUAACAGAAUGUUUAAAUGGAUGUGAUGCUUUACAAUUACUAGGAAGAAUCUGAUCUUAUUUACUCCAUUUUCUGCUGACAGUAUUAUCAAAUACAGGCAUAUUUCUUUAAGGGAGGCUGGAUACUGAAAUCUGGGCUUAUAGGUUCAAGAACUCUGUGUUUUCUGUAAACAUCUGAAUAUUCAAAAGAUUUUUUAUUAAACAUUUUAUUUAUUUAUUCAUGAGAAACACAGGGGUGGGGGAGAGAGAGGCAGAGACACAAACAGAGGGAGAAGCAGGCUCCAUGCAGGGAGCCCAAUGUGGCACUUGAUCCCGGGACUCCAGGAUCACACCCUGGGCCGAAGGCAGGUGCUAAACUGCUGAGCCACCCAGGGAUCCCCAAGAAUAUUAAAAAGAUUUUUUUCAAAAGAUUUUUAAAAACAAAACACAACUUGUGCUUUGUCACUGCCAGAAAGAAUUUGAAGCAGCAAAAUAUUAAGAUUCAAAUACUUUUUUUUUUUAAAGGAAGAGCUACACAAAAAGAUGUACAUGAAGAGGAAGAAAAACUGUAUCAGAAAUUAUUGGCUAAAGGAAGUUACUAUAGUUGAAAACAGAACCACAUUUCCUCAAAGGGCAGCCAAAGCAAAGAGAGAAAUAUGAGAGGUGUCCCAACUCUAUUUAAUGAAAGGAAGUUUGCCAUUAAUUAGGAGAAACACUUUUUGUUUCUAAGCUAACAUAGCAUGUAUGGAGAACUUUGUUCAUGGUGGUUAAGAACUUUGAAAGGAGAUUUAAAAAAAUGCAGUGACAGUUCACCUUUGGCAAAUACCUUGUCUAAUAGGGGAGUCUCAAACUGAUGUCCAAGGUUUUCCUGAUUCUACAAGCAGUACGCCCCUCCUCCCCCCUUUUCUUCUCAUAAUCUCCAUUCUAAACAGCAAUUCUAUUUUUCCAGUUGUCCAGGCUAAUUGGGCGAAGUCAUUCCUAAUUCCUCUCCUUUCAUACCCUAUAUCUGAUCUGCCAGCAAAUAUUGUCAGCUUUGCCUUCAAAUAUACCCAGAUUCUGGCCACUUUUCAAACCUGCUCCACUGCCACCACUUUGAUCUAUGCCACCAUCAUUUCUUUUUUUUUUUUUUUUUUUUUAAAUUUUUAUUUUUUAUGAUAGUCACAGAGAGAGAGAGGAGAGGCAGAGACACAGGCAGAGGGAGAAGCAGGCUCCAUGCACCGGGAGCCUGACGUGGGAUUCGAUCCCGGGUCUCCAGGAUCGCGCCCUGGGCCAAAGGCAGGCGCUAAACCACUGCGCCACCCAGGGAUCCCUGCCACCAUCAUUUCUUUCCAGAGUUACUGCUAUGGACUAACUGGUCUCCUCAUUAUCACUUCAGUCUGUUUGCAUUAACUAAAACCUAAGUUGGAUCACGUCACUUUCCUACUCAAAAUCCUCCCUAGAACCCCCAUCUCACUCAGGAUAAAAGCCAAGCCUCAGGAGGCAGUCCAUGGUCUAGUUUCAUCCCUUUACCUCUUUGGCCAUACCUAUUACUCCUCCCUCUUACACUACAUAGCUACGCUUCCAUUCUAUUAUGGAAAUAUUCCAAGCACACUUUUACUUUAAGACUCUUGCAAUUGCUAUUCCCUUUGCCUAAAUGUUCUCCUCCUAAGUGCAGCUUUCCCUGGCCCUCUCCCCUUUAAUAUCGCGAACAUUCCACACACAUCACCCAUGGCAUUUUGUAUCUCCUUUAUUUGUCCCUUCAGCACUGUUCACUACCCAUCAUGCUGUAUCUUUUAUUUUCUUACUCGUUUCUAUCUUCCCCACUAAAACAUAAGCCCCAAGAAGGCAGGGAUUCUUUUUCCUGUUAAAUCACCCAAAGUGGUUUGGUGCAGAGCAGGUAUUGAAAUAUCUGUUGAAAGAAUGCAUAGAUAAAAUUUGAGGGCAUGGUCUUAAAGUAUACAUAUUUAUGAAAGUGGAAGUGGGAGACAGAAUAAUAUAGUUCAGUAAGCAGUAUUUUGGUGAUCUCAUUUGCUACAUGCUACAGGGUUAAUGCUUGGAUCAUAAACACAAAAGAAUGGAUCAUAGAUCUUUUAGCCAGUGUCCCUAAAGUGGGAUGGCACAAGAUGAUCCAUUAGGAUGAGGGG
rnacentral:lncRNA from 1 species